rnacentral:rRNA from 1 species
GACGAACGCUGGCGGCGUGCUUAACACAUGCAAGUCGAGCGGUAAGGCCCUUUCGGGGGUACGACGAGCGGCGAACGGGUGAGUAACACGUGGGUGACCUGCCCUCAGCUCUGGGAUAAGCCUGGGAAACCGGGUCUAAUACUGGAUAUGACUCCAUGACGCAUGUUGUGGGGUGGAAAGCCUUGUGCGGCUGAGGAUGGGCCCGCGGCCUAUCAGCUUGUUGGUGGGGUGANGGCCUACCAAGGCGACGACGGGUAGCCGGCCUGAGAGGGCGACCGGCCACACUGGGGCUGAGACACGGCCCAGACUCCUACGGGAGGCAGCAGUGGGGAAUCUUGCGCAAUGGGCGAAAGCCUGACGCAGCGACGCCGCGUGAGGGAUGACGGCCUGGUUGUAACUCUUCUAGCUCGACGAAGCGAGAGUGACGGUAGGAGACGAGAAGAAGACGACCCGG